rnacentral:rRNA from 1 species
GACGAGGGGUCCUAGCGUUGUUCGGAAUCAUUGGGCGUAAAGCGUGUGUAGGCGGCCUUGUAAGUCAGUUGUGAAAGCCCCGGGCUCAACCCGGGAAGUGCUUCUGAUACUGCUUGGCUUGAGUACUGGAGAGGAUAGUGGAAUUCCAGGUGUAGUGGUGAAAUACGUAGAUAUCUGGAGGAACACCGGUGGCGAAGGCGGCAUCCUGGACCAAUAUUGACGCUGAGGAGCGAAAGCCAGGGGAGCAAACGGG